rnacentral:rRNA from 1 species
GGAAUCGUUACCACAAUGGACGAAAGUCUGAUGGAGCAACGCCGCGUGAGUGAAGAAGGGUUUCGGCNCUAAAACUCUGUUGUUAAAGAAGAACAUAUCUGAGAGUAACUGUUCAGGUAUUGACGGUAUUUAACCAGAAAGUCACGGCUAACUACGUGCCAG